rnacentral:rRNA from 1 species
ACACACAUAAGACGAAAAGACCCUAUGGAGCUUUAAGCCAUUAUACUACCAAACCACAGCCCUCUUUCCACCGCCCUAGUAUAUACUUUCAGUUGGGGCAACUACGGAGCAGAACAAAAACUCCACGAACAAACGUCUAAUACACGCAGUAUUUCAGGCUGCCACGCCACACACCCCAGACCUUAGACCCAGUAUAACUGAGCAACGGACCAAGUUACCCUAGGGAUAACAGCGCCAUCUUCCCCCCAGAGCCCAUAUCCACGGGGAGGCUUACGACCUCGAUGUUGGAUCAGGACCCCCCGGCGGUGCAGCCGCUGCCAAAGGUUCGUUUGUUCAACGACUAACGUCCU